GACGCAUCACUGGUGUUCGGGUUGUCAUGCCAAUGGCACUGCCCGGUAGCUAAAUGCGGAAGAGAUAAGUGCUGAAAGCAUCUAAGCACGAAACUUGCCCCGAGAUGAGUUCUCCCUGACCCUUUAAGGGUCCUGAAGGAACGUUGAAGACGACGACGUUGAUAGGCCGGGUGUGUAAGCGCAGCGAUGCGUUGAGCUAACCGGUACUAAUGAACCGUGAGGCUUAACCUU
rnacentral:rRNA from 1 species